rnacentral:rRNA from 1 species
GCUUGACUGUAACUGGAAUGGGGUUCCGGUUGGCAUGCGCAGGAUAGGUGGAGGCAGAAGGUUCCUUCGGGGGAGCCAAGCCAUUCUUGGAAUACCACCCUUUGAUCAGGCGGAGCUAACCCUCACCCGUGCGCGGGAGGGGACAGUCUUCAGCGGCAGUUUGACUGGGCGUCGCCUCCUAAAAGGUAACGGAGGCGCGCAAGGUCCCUCAGCUGGUUGGAAAUCAGCCAGAGAGUGUAAAGCACAAGGGAGCUUGACUGCAAGAGCUACACCUCGAGCAGGGACGAAAGUCGGCCUUAGUGAUCCGACGCACUGAGUGGAAGGCCGUCGCUCACGGAUAAAAGUUA